rnacentral:rRNA from 1 species
AAUGAACGCUGGCGGCAUGCCUAACACAUGCAAGUCGAACGAAGGCUUCGGCCUUAGUGGCGCACGGGUGCGUAACGCGUGGGAAUCUGCCCCUGGGUUCGGAAUAACAGUUAGAAAUGACUGCUAAUACCGGAUGAUGACGUAAGUCCAAAGAUUUAUCGCCGAGGGAUGAGCCCGCGUAGGAUUAGCUCGUUGGUGUGGUAAGAGCGCACCAAGGCGACGAUCCUUAGCUGGUCUGAGAGGAUGAUCAGCCACACUGGGACUGAGACACGGCCCAGACUCCUACGGGAGGCAGCAGUGGGGAAUAUUGGAAAAUGGGCGAAAGCCUGAUCCAGCUCUGCCGCGUGAGUGAUGAAGGCCUUAGGGUUGUAAAGCUCUUUUACCCGGGAUGAUAAUGACAGUACCGGGAGAAUAAGCUCCGGCUAACUCCGUG